UACGUAGGGUGCAAGCGUUAAUCGGAAUUACUGGGCGUAAAGCGUGCGCAGGCGGUUAUGUAAGACAGAUGGGAAAUGCCCGGGCUUAACCUGGGAACUGCAUUUGUGACUGCAUGGCUAGAGUUUGGCAGAGGGGGGUAGAAUUCCACGUGUAGCAGUGAAAUGCGUAGAUAUGUGGAGGAACACCGAUGGCGAAGGCAGCCCCCUGGGUCAAGACUGACGCUCAUGCACGAAAGCGUGGGGAGCAAACAGG
rnacentral:rRNA from 1 species